GAAAUGCGAUACGUAGUGUGAAUUGCAGAAUUCCGUGAACCAUCGAAUCUUUGAACGCAUAUUGCGCUCGAGCCCUCGGGCAAGAGCAUGUCUGCCUCAGCGUCGGUUUACACCCUCACCCCUCCCACCUUGUGUGGGUCGGUUGGCUUUCUAGCCAACCUUGGGGUGGAUCUGGCUUCCCCAAUGCGCUUUUGCGGGUUGGGUUGGCUGAAGUGUAGAGGCUUAAACAAGGACCCGAUAUGGGCUGCAACUGGAUAGGUAGCACCGGCUUCUGCCGACUACACGAAGUUGUAGCUUGUGGACUUUGUUAGGGGCCAAGCAGGAAACGUGCUUGCACGUUCUAAACUUUCGACCUGAGCUCAGACAAGGCUACCCGCUGAACUUAA
rnacentral:misc_RNA from 1 species